CCUACGGGAGGCAGCAGUGGGGAAUUUUGGACAAUGGGCGAAAGCCUGAUCCAGCAAUGCCGCGUGUGGGAAGAAGGCCUUCGGGUUGUAAACCACUUUUGUACGGAACGAAAAGGUCUGCUUUAAUAAAGCGGGCUCAUGACGGUACCGUAAGAAUAAGCACCGGCUAACUACGUGCCAGCAGCCGCGGUAAUACGUAGGGUGCGAGCGUUAAUCGGAAUUACUGGGCGUAAAGCGUGCGCAGGCGGUUAUAUAAGACAGUUGUGAAAUCCCCGGGCUCAACCUGGGAAUUGCAUCUGUGACUGUAUAGCUAGAGUACGGUAGAGGGGGAUGGGAAUUCCGCGUGUAGCAGUGAAAUGCGUAGAUAUGCGGAGGAACACCGAUGGCGAAGGCAAUCCCCUGGACCUGUACUGACGCUCAUGCACGAAAGCGUGGGGAGCAAACAGGAUUAGAUACCCUGGUAGUCCACGCCCUAAACGAUGUCAACUGGUUGUUGGGUGCAUUAGUACUCAGUAACGAAGCUAACGCGUGAAGUUGACCGCCUGGGGAGUACGGCCGCAAGGUUGAAACUCAAAUGAAUUGAGG
rnacentral:rRNA from 1 species